rnacentral:rRNA from 1 species
UCGGCGACGCCCUCCACCCCUUUCACCUUUUGGGAUUGGGUAGGGGAAGUUUAUAGCUUCGAGCAAGUGGAUCUUGAUUGGAGAGGUCAGCAUCAGUUGACGUUUCGAACGGAUGCUUGGUAGAGAAGGUAGGUCUUUCGGGACUGUUAAGCUCUGCCAGUUGWCGUUCGCUUCGACUGAGGUUUCCUUUUUGCGAGCAGGGGUUAACUUUCGAGCACCCUUGUUCUUAGGAUGCUGGCUGAAAAGGUUUCAACCGACCCGUCUUGAAACACGGACCAAGGAGUCUAACAUAUGUGCGAGUAUGCGGGUGUGAAAACCUGUAUGCGUAAUGAAAGUAAGAGUAGGGAGAAGGGUGUUCGUCAUUCUUCGCAGCUACGACCGACCACGAUCUCUGAGAGAGGUUUGAGUUGGAGCAUAUCUGUUAGGACCCGAAAGAUGGUGAACUAUGCCUGAGUAGAAUGAAGUCAGGCGAAAGCCUGAUGGAGGUUCGUAGCGAUACUGACGUGCAAAUCGUUCGUCAAACUUGGGUAUA